CAUGGUGGCAUGGUGGCAUGGUGUCAGUGUUUCACACUUAUUGUGUGUCUUGGCGGAUGUCACUGUGUUGAUCCGGAGAGGACCAAACCUUUGUCGGCCCCAUUAUAUCAGGCAGCGUGGGACACGAGCACAUUUUAUCUGGAUGAGGCAUUGACCGUGCGAGUCAACAUUGUCCCUGCAGAGACAGAAGGAGUUAAAG